rnacentral:rRNA from 1 species
GAUGAACGCUGGCGGCGUGCCUAAUACAUGCAAGUAGAACGCUGAAGGAAGGAGCUUGCUCUUUCCGGAUGAGUUGCGAACGGGUGAGUAACGCGUAGGUAACCUGCCUGGUAGCGGGGGAUAACUAUUGGAAACGAUAGCUAAUACCGCAUAACAGUAGAUGUUGCAUGAUAUCUACUUAAAAGGUGCAAUUGCACCACUACCAGAUGGACCUGCGUUGUAUUAGCUAGUUGGUGAGGUAACGGCUCACCAAGGCGACGAUACAUAGCCGACCUGAGAGGGUGAUCGGCCACACUGGGACUGAGACACGGCCCAGACUCCUACGGGAGGCAGCAGUAGGGAAUCUUCGGCAAUGGACGGAAGUCUGACCGAGCAACGCCGCGUGAGUGAAGAAGGUUUUCGGAUCGUAAAGCUCUGUUGUAAGAGAAGAACGAGUGUGAGAGUGGAAAGUUCACACUGGGACGGUAUCUUACCAGAAAGGGACGGCUAACUACGUG